CCUCCGCCAGAGAACUACAAGUGAAAAACUUCAAACUUAAAGGACUUGACGGUAUCCCAAACCGACCUAGAGGAGCCUGUCCUAUAAUCGAUACCCCCCGCUCCACCCAACCUCAACUAGCACAAUAUCAGCCUAUAUACCGCCGUCGACAGCCUACCCUAUGAAGGUCCAACAGUAGACAUAAUAGCCCCCCACUAACACGUCAGGUCAAGGUGUAGCAAAUGUUGAGGAAGAGAUUGGCUACAUUUUUUAUGAUAAAAAAAACGAAAAGUAUUAUGAAAUAGUACAUGAAGGUGAAUUUAGUAGUAAAAUAAACAAGAGUGUUUAUUUUAACACCGCUCUGGGAUGCGUACACACCGCCC
rnacentral:rRNA from 1 species